rnacentral:rRNA from 1 species
ACUGGGACCGAGACACGGCCCAGACUCCUACGGGAGGCAGCAGUGGGGAAUUUUCCGCAAUGGGCGAAAGCCUGACGGAGCAAUACCGCGUGAGGGAGGAAGGCCUUUGGGUUGCAAACCUCUUUUCUUAAGGAAGAAGAUCUGACGGUACUUAAGGAAUCAGCAUCGGCUAACUCCGUGCCAGCAGCCGCGGUAAUACGGAGGAUGCAAGCGUUAUCCGGAAUUAUUGGGCGUAAAGCGUCCGCAGGCGGCACUAUAAGUCUGCUGUCAAAGACCGCAGCUCAACUGCGGAAAGGCAGUGGAAACUGUAGAGCUAGAGUACGGUAGGGGUAGAGGGAAUUCCCAGUGUAGCGGUGAAAUGCGUAGAGAUUGGGAAGAACACCAGUGGCGAAAGCGCUCUACUGGGCCGUAACUGACGCUCAGGGACGAAAGCUAGGGGAGCGAAAGGGAUUAGAUACCCCUGUAGUCCUAGCUGUAAACGAUGGAUACUAGGCGUAGCUUGUAUCGACCCGAGCUGUGCCGAAGCUAACGCGUUAAGUAUCCCGCCUGGGGAGUACGCACGCAAGUGUGAAACUCAAAGGAAUUGACGGGGGCCCGCACAAGCGGUGGAGUAUGUGGUUUAAUUCGAUGCAACGCGAAGAACCUUACCAGGGCUUGACAUCCCGCGAAUCAGAGUGAAAGCUCUGAGUGCCUUCGGGAACGCGAAGACAGGUGGUGCAUGGCUGUCGUCAGCUCGUGUCGUGAGAUG